rnacentral:rRNA from 1 species
UUUUCAAGAGUCGAGUUGUUUGGGAUUGCAGCUCAAAAUGGGAGGUAAAUUUCUCCUAAAGCUAAAUAUUGGCGAGAGACCGAUAGCGAACAAGUACCGUGAGGGAAAGAUGAAAAGAACUUUGAAAAGAGAGUUAAACAGUACGUGAAAUUGUUGAAAGGGAAACGAUUGAAGUCAGUCGUACUAACGGGAAAUCAACCUUUUUGAGAUGUAAACUUUGGACUCGAAGAGUGUUCGGGUUCAACUAUUUGCGCUUUAGGGGCGUAAUUUCUCGUUCGGUAGGUUAACAUCGAUUUUGAACAUUAUAAAAUGAUCGGAGGAAUGUAGCUUCGAUCUCGUAUUGAAGUGUUAUAGCCUUUGGUAGAUGUAAUGAUCAAGAUCGAGGAUUGCAACGAAUACCCUUUUGGGCUAUCCGUCUGAUCUCUGAUACGUUGCCUUGGUAAUGAAAGCGUGCUUAUGUUAUUGAGGUAUUACGGUCAAAAGGUUAGAACGUGAUUACAUUCGUU